GAUGAACGCUGGCUGCGUGCUUAACACAUGCAAGUCGAACGAAGAAGCCCAGGUUGCUUGGUUGCCUGGUGGUGGACGGGUGCGUGAGACAUGAGUGCGCUGCCCUCCACCCUCGGAUAGACGGGUAAAACGGGGUAUAUCACCCGAUAGGAGCGUCCACCGCAUGGUGGGUGUUGGACAGAUUUAUCGGUUUUGGAUGGUCUCGCGGCGUAUCAGCUUGUUGGUGAGGUAAUGGAUCACAAAGGCGACGCCGGGUAACCGGCCGGAGAGGGUGACCGGCAACACGGGCACUGAGCCACGGCCCGGAGUCCUACGGGAGGCAGGUGUGGGGAAUAGUGCCCAAAGGGGGCAAGUCGGGUGCAGGGAGGCCGCGCUAGGGAUUAUGGCCUGCGGUUUGUAAACGUCUUUGAGAGGGACAGAAGCUACAGUGACGGUACCGGAAGAAGAAGCACCGGCUAACUACGUG
rnacentral:rRNA from 1 species